UCGUUUGUUUUUUUUACAAUUUAGAAACUGGCCAAAAAUUUGAAUAAAUUGUUAAAUCUAAUUCAAAUUAUAUAUAUUAUAAUUUUUGUUAGCAACUACUUUUGAUUUUCUACCAAUUCUAACAAUUGAUCAAAUUUUACGUCAAAUUCUUAACGUCUUUAAUGAUGAGAUUGACCGAGUUUAAAUGAUAUUAGUUUAACCGGUUAAAUGGAUGUCAAAUCAGAUGUCAUGUCAUUAUUUUUCGACUAAAAAAAAAAUAUUAAAUAAAAAUAAAUUGAAACUGAAAUAAAAAAUACCUGAAAAAUUACAACGGAAUAAAAAUAGAAAAAAAUGACCAUGCUUUUAGUUCCCACCGCCGAAUCUCGACCCAUCUUCCUACCACCGACUACAACCUAAUCUGAGUCUUGUAAAUUGGCGGCAGAGAGAUCAACUGGGCUUUUCAUGGCCAAGAAAGAGGUAUCUGGAUGAUUUGCUCAGCCGGGAACAACAGUCCAAAGUCGGACACUGUUGUCAACUAUGAACCCUAGCUUUUCACUACUACUGCUUUGAAUUUGAUCGAAAAUUGAAUCCACUCUGAUUCUAGCUAGCGACAAAGCUUUUAAGGUAAUUAAACCCUAAAUUUUACAGACCUAAUUUUGCCCACAGAUCUUCUCAACCAUGAUGCUUCAGAUUUGUAGCUCUUCGUCU
rnacentral:lncRNA from 1 species